rnacentral:lncRNA from 1 species
AGCAUUCCCCGGGCACUCUCAAGCACAGACUUUUGAUUCUGAGGUGCUGUCAGGACUUUCACACUUUAAAAUAGGCUCUUACAGCUGGCUGUCCUGGAAUUUAUACUUGCUCUGUGACUUGUAAAGCUCACAGCUGGACUGCGAGACAUUCCUAAGUGGUGAGAACGCUGGACAGGUGUCGCUUGCUCUCUCUGCUCUGUUUCUCUGGGAGGGUCCUGCCUGCAGUGGAUUUAUUUGGACUUGGCUUUGAAGGUGGGUUUGAUUGACUCUCUGUGCUUCGGUUGUUGUUAAAUACUUUAAAGAUUCAGUCUUCCUGAAGAUUCCGGAGGUAUGCGCACCUCGGUCAUAGUGCGCUUGCACAGACGUUUCCUUGAGUUCCAGCCCUGCCAGGUCCAUUCAUUCUGUACCCUGGGCAAGUUGUCACCGGGAGUCUCAGUUUGUCUUAUCUUAUGGGCGAUUUAUCUUGUAGAAUUAUCUUUGGAAUGGCUAGUUCAUCAUUGAUACAUAUUAAAGGGUCAGUAAAAUGUCAGUUGUCAUUUUCUAUUGUGAUAUUAGCCAGCUGUCAGGGUAUGGAUCAUACACAUGUGGGAACUAGUGGCGUACAGACAGAAGUGCUGUCUGCCUUCCCCCAGGACUGAGCAGGUUUCCUAAAACACUGCACGAGGCAUCUUGCUAGAGCCAGGUGUUAGGAAAUGGGCAAAGCACAGAGCUGCUGAGAUGUAGGAGGGGACAUCAUUAAUUAAAUCAUAAGUUUAGGCUCCUUGCUCAAUGGUGAGGACAGGGAGCCGCUUUGAGAAACACUCAGUAAUUAACCAACAACUCCGUUCAACACUGCACUUCUCUGACCUGAACUUCCUGCGAUCAUGCGAUCAUGUUAAAAGAAAAAAAAAAUCAAGAUCGAAGACCAGCAGCCGUACUGGGAAAAAGAUUUGUGUUUCGUCAUCUGUGCCUGCUAAAGUGAUGUGUAUGUACAAAAUGAUCUCUGCGGUGCAGAAGGAUACGGAUGAAAUGGUGAAAAUGGGACCGAAUGAGAGCAAUUGGAGCUCGGUUGUAAGGAGAGCCUGAGGUGCCUCCACUUGAAGGAAUAGACAAUUCCUGUGGAGGCUGCAGGGAUUUGCUCUCUGCAUGGGAAGCUGGGCAGUGAUGGGUUAUCCUCCAAGUUGGUUAUAUGGGACGUGAGAGCAAAGGUACCGGAAGGCCUGGGGAGAUCUCUUCACUCUUCUCCCGGGUUCUCAGAGGACUCCCACUCCCGAAUCCUUUCAGGGCUCCAUUCAGGAUCUCCCUUUGUCUGGAAACCCCACCCUCUUGCCUGUCCAUCCCUGUAGCAGUCUCUGUGGGACUGUGAACCGGAGUCAGGAGGCUGUAGCAUCCCUCAUUCUCUGGCUUUCGGUUAAGAGUGUCACUGGGAGAAGCUUUCGGUUAAGAGUGUCACUGGGAGAAGCAGAAGCACAGGUGUCAGGAACACUGGGUGUGUCCUCAUAAACACUGGGUGUGUCCUCAUAAAGCUGGGAAAUGCCAAGAGGAAGGCUAGAAGGAAGGAACUUCAGUCACACGUCACGGGCCCCUUCUGUCCCUGGCCUGAGACCUUGGGAUUUCUCUGUCUGCUUUAUUCUCUCUCCAUCCAUGAUUUUGUUCCAUAAUGUUUGUGUUUGUGGAGGCCAGAGAACAACCUCGAGUGUCCUUUAGCCACAGUCUACCUUUUCUUUUGAGACAUGGUCUUCUACUGGACUGGUACUUGCCACGUAGAAGGGGCUGGCUGGCCAACCAGUCCCAGGGAUCCACCCGCUUCUGUCUCUUUGACACUGGGAUUAUAAAUAAGCAUGUGCCACCCUGGACACCUUUAAAACAUCUUAAUUUAGAAUUUUUACAUGGCUCUGGGGGUUGAAUUUCGGUCUUCAUGCUUGCAAGGCAGGCACUCCCUAAUGGAACUGCCUCUUCAGUCCUCUGCCCUUCUAUUACCAAGUGACAUUUUUUUAUUUUCCUUCAUCAAGUAGACAACUGCAACUGUAACAGAAAAAUGCCUUUAGCAAAUUUCUUCUACAGUCAAGUGCUUCGUCAGAUGAUCACAGUAUUGUCAAACUUCGAAAAAAGCUAGCAAAUUUUCCACCUAAGAUUUUUUUGUGGGGGAGGUUUGGGUGUGGGUGUGGGGAAAGAGUAUAAAAUAAGACUUUCAGAGA